UACGUAGGGGGCAAGCGUUGUCCGGAAUCAUUGGGCGUAAAGCGCGUGUAGGCGGCUAGGUAAGUCUGCUCUGAAAGCCCGGGGCUCAACCCCGGGAGGCGGGUGGAUACUGUCUAGCUCGAGUCCGGAAGAGGAGUGUGGAAUUCCUGGUGUAGCGGUGAAAUGCGCAGAUAUCAGGAGGAACACCGGUGGCGAAGGCGGGUCUCUGGGCCGAUACUGACGCUGAGGAGCGAAAGCGUGGGGAGCGAAAGGG
rnacentral:rRNA from 1 species